rnacentral:lncRNA from 1 species
CAGUCUUGAGUACAAUGGUGUGAUUAUAGCUCACUGCAGCCUUGAAGUCCUGGCCCCAAGCAAUCCACCUGCCUCAGCUUCCUGAGUAGCUGGGACUCCAGGCGUGUGCUACCAUACUUAGCUUUUUUUUUUUUUUUUUUUUUGAGAAACAGAGGUCUUGCUUUGUUGCCCAGGCUGGUCUCGAACUUCUGGGCUCAAGCAAUCCUCCUACCUCAGUCUCCCAAAGUGCUGGGAUUAUAGGCAUGAGCCACCAUACCCAUCCACUUCUGUCUACUUCUGAUAAUCUCACGAAAGAGAAGGUAAUUAGGCAAUUAUCACGUUUUAGCCUUUAAAAUAUUUUAAAUUUACUUUCCUCUCCAUUUCUAUUGCCCUAAUCCAAUUUAAUCAGACUUAGAACUUGUCUGCAUCUAAAAUGCAAAAAUCUUCACUAAUUGCCCUUCUGUGAUGUAUCAUAUCGAACAGACCAAAUCACUUGGCACUUGAUUAUAUACGUGCUAAAUUCUUCUCACUUGAUCUUAAGUUUCCUGUAGGCAGAAACCAUGACAUAUUUCAAUGCACACCUUCUGUUAGUUCCAGCUAGCAUGCAGCCUAUGAAUGACACUGUAAUAGUACCAUUCUAACACAUGGUUACAAGAUGACCAGAGGAUAUGGUGCCACAACUAAUUAGCAAUCAAACCUAUCGAUUCUACCUCUUGGAUUAUAUAUUUCCUCCAUUCCCUUCUCUUCAUCCUGUUUAACCUUUUUCAUGUCAGCUUCCACUACAAAACCUCCUAAAUGGUCUCCCUGCCUUUGCUAAUACCAAUCUUUCCCAAUCUUAUCAACUCCAGUGACUUUUUCUAAAAUAUAAUGGGAUCAUGUCUCUCAUACUUUACAGCCUGUAAGAUGAAGUCCAACUACCUUAACAAAGCACACAGGGCCAUCAAAAACUAAACCUUAUCCUGGGGCCUAGCACAUAACAGAUGCUCAAUAAAGGCUAGGUCAACAAAUGAAUUUAUCUCUGGUUUAGGAAAGAAUGAAGCCAUAUGGGCAUUACAGCAAACCUCUUAGUUCACCUCACAGAUGGGCCGCCCUCAUGAAACCCUAAACCAGUGCCAAACCACACCAAUGUCAUACUCAACGGAAUUUAAGUUCAUUUUUCUUCAUUUUUUUUAAAAUAUGUAAUGCUUCAUGAAUUUGCGUGUCAUCCUUGUGCAGGGACCAUGCUAAUCUUCUCUGUAUCAUUCCAAUUUUAGUGUAUGUGCUGUCAAAGUGAGCACUUAAGUUCAUUUUUUAUGAUGUCAUUCUUAAAUUGAGACAGACUAGUUUAAUACAUGACUCAUUAUUUGGCCCCAAAUCUUCAGACUUGGUUUAAUUUAGUGGAGUUACAUUUUGGUCCUGGAACAUUUGAGUAGAAGCAGAGAGAAUGGAGGAUCUUGUUUCACUUACAUCAGAAGAUAACUGUGUUUGAGUAGUGGCUAAUUCUGCUGCUUCCUCACAGAAGAAAAUAGGAAAAUCCCUGCCUGCUACUUCUUCCCACACAUGCUCACACUGUUUUCAAGUGCAUGGGAAGUAAGCCUUUUCUCCUCCAACCACUAACCUUUAUGUUGAAGGUGACCACAGUGCCAUUUGCCAGUCCCGCAUAGAGGAUUCGCCAUCUACUGUGGAGGCAGAGGACCCGGUCUUCCAGCUGUAACUGCUCCACACACUCUCGGCUCUGAUAAAAGCACACAACCUUUAAUCAGCAGAGGGUACUGGCAAAUGAGAUGUCAAAAACAAUUCCUCCAGAAAGCAGACUUUAAAAUGACUCUUAUGCGGAAGAAAGUGUGACAUCCUCUAUUUUGUAGGGGACUAUCUUAGAUCUGUUUCUCCUUUGAAAUAUGAGGCCUAAGACUUCCAAGCUGUAGGUAAUAUGAAAAAUAAACAUAAAUUCUAGUAAUGUUACCCAUGUUUCUAACUUAGAAUGUAGAAAUUCUUCAAAGGGUACUAUGAGUUAGGUCUUAGCCUCUUAAAUUAAGAGGCCAAAUAUAAAAGACAAAGCUCUAUUUUGACAUCUAAAGAGGAAAAUCAGGAUUAUAGUUAUAUAUUUGAUAAAUGCACUAAUCAAAUAUGUGGUUUUCCGCACAUGAUUCUCUAUUUCAAUAGCUCCCAAAUGUCUCCUUCAAACUGGUGCCAGGUUAGCUGGGCUAAAUUACUCAAGAGGCUUUUAAAAUACAUAGAACCCAAGCUCCAACCCCAUCCCUGAGACUCUUAAUUCAGUGGGCUCUAGAAUCUGUGUUUUAAAAAAUUUCCCUAGUAAUUCAGAUGCACAUGCAGAUUUAAUACCCACUGUUUGAUCUGACCUUCAAAAAACGAUUUCUUUUUGAGACGGAGUCCUGCUCUGUCGCCCAGGUGUAGCUUUUUAAGUGGGCUUGGCUGUAGAUAUUAAAAUCAAGAUGGUUACAAUUGGGUAGGAUGAGAAAAGCUGUGGCUUGUCAAAUCCAUUGGUCUCGUCUCCCAACCUUCUUUCAUACCUAAAAGAGUCAGUCACUUAAAUUAUUCAAUUUCUCCCCUGAAAAAAUCACAAACAUAAGUGCCAUAUAUGAAAUUGUAAGAUACAGCAAAAGACAGUAAAUAUGCCUAAAUAUUAAGAUUCAUGUUGCUUCCCAUUAAUCCUAUGAGAUCUUUUGUAACUUUAUAGGGGAAAUUGAACAUUACAUAGCAAUAAAAAAGGAACAAACUAUUGGCACAUGUACCAAUACAGAUGAAUUUUCAAACAUUAUGGUGAGCUAAAGCUAGACAUAAAAGAACACAUGUGGUACAGUUAUACUGAUAUGACAGCUAAGCACAGAGAAAAGUAAUCUAUGACAGGAGUCAAAAUAGUGAUUAGCUUUAGAAGAAGGUUAUGCCCAGGGAGGCAUUUGAGGGAAGCUUCAGGGCUAUGAAAUGGUCUACGUUUUGAUCUUUGUGGUAGUUAUACAAACAAAUAUCUGCAGAAAAAUUCAUCAAGCUGUAUACUUAAAAUCUGUGUGCUUUACUGUAUGAAGUUAUGUCUCAAUGUUAAAAAAUGGUUACAAAAUCUUUUUCACUAGUGUACGGUCCUGCUAUGCCAAAGACUACACGUUAGAACCCUUAAUACUGAAAAGCCUUUUAAAAGAGUUUUUGCUAAUAUUGUGAGUAAAAAUGGUAUUCCUUGUACUUUGGUUUUAAUUUGCAUUUAUUUGCAAGAUUGUAUUUUUUUCAGUUAUUUGUUAUUUCUUUUUAAGAGACUUGCUUGUUUUUUGUCAAUGUAUGUUUAGGGAUUUACUUAUGUAUUUGUUUUUUGAAAGACAAGGUCUCGCUCUGCCUCCUGGCUAGAGUGCAGUGACGUGAUUACUGCUCACUGCAGCCUUGACCUCCGAGGCUCAAGGAAUCCUCCCACCUCAGCCUCCCGAGUAGCUGGAACUACAGGCGUGGGCCAUCGCGCAUGCCUAGUUAAUUUUUAAAUUUUUUUGGAGAGAUGAGGUCUCGCCAUGUUGCCUAGGCUGUUCUUGAACUCCUGGGCUCAAGCGAUCCUCCCAACUUGGCCUCCUAAAGUGUUAAGAUUAUAGGCAUGAACCACUGCACCUGGCUAUAGGAAUUUAAAGGUGUAAGCCCCUUACAACAUAUACCAAACCUGUUUGUCCUAUCUUAAGUUACGGCUUUUCCCCCUGGUUUUAUGUAAGACUAUUUAUUACCAAAAUAUGCUUACAAUUUUUUUUUACAAGUUUGUAUAAUUUUUUACAGGUUUGUACAAGUCGCCUAGCUAGGCUUGAACUCCUGGCCUCAAAUGAUCCUCCCACCUCAACAUCCCAAAGCACUAGAAUUACAGGCAUGAGCCACUGUGCCCAGCCUCUUUUUCUAGUUUCUUGGAUUUUAAAGCUUUCUUCUUUUCUAAUAGAAGCAAUUAAAACCACGAAUUUCCCUUUUAGCAGUGCUUUAGCUGCAUCCUACAAAUGAUACGUUGCAUUUUCAUUUAGUUAGGUAUUUUCUAAUUUCCCUCGUGAUUCCUUCUUUGAACCACAAUAAUUUAGAAGUAUCUUAUUUUCAUCUCCCUAUAUUUGGGGAUUUCUUAGAUUUCUGUUACUGCUUUCUAAUAAAUGUCAUUGUGGUUAGAGAACAUACUUUGUAUGAUUUUGGUGCUUUUAAAUUGAUUGAAAUUUAUUUAAUAGCCCAGCAUGUGGUCCUGGUAAAUGUUCUAUGUGCACAUUCUUGAAAAAAAUGUGUAUUCUGCAAUUUUGAGUGGAAUGUCCUAUAAAUGUUAAUUGGAUCUUGAUCGUUAAUGAUGUUAUACGGUUCUUUUUUUUUUUUUUUUUUCUUGAAAUGAAGUUUUUCUCUGUUGCCCAGGCUGGAGUACAGUGGUGCAAAUCUCAGCUCACUGCAACCUCCACCUCCCAGGUUCAAGUGAUUCUCCUGCCUCAGCUUCCUGAGUAGCUGGGAUUACAGGCACGUACCACCAGGCCCAGCUAAUUUUUUUGUAUUUUUAUUUUUGUUUAUUUAUUUUUUGAGACGGAGUUUACUUAUUUUUUCAGACGCACCACACCCAGCUAAUUUUUGUAUUUUUAGUAGAGAUGGGUUUCACCAUGUUUUUCAGGCUGGUCUCAAACUCCUGACCUCAGGUGAUAUGCCCACCUUGGCCUCCCAAAGUGCUGGGAUUACAGGCAUUAAGCCAACCACAGCCAGCCUAAUUUUUUUGUAUUUUUAGUAGAGAUGUGGUUUCGCCAUGUUGGCUAGGCUGGUCUCGAACUCCUGACCUCAAGUGAUCCACCCGCCUCAGCCUCCCAAAGUGCUGGGAUUACAGGCAUGAGCCACCACACCCGGCCAGUGUUGUACAGUUCUUGUAUAUCCUUCAUGGUUUUUUAUUUAGUAGUCUAUCAAUUAUUGAGAAAGGGUUGUUAAUGUCCCCAACUAUAACUGUGAAUUUGUCUACUCCUUUCAGUUCUAUCAGUUAUUGUUUCACGUAUUUUAGAGCUCUGUUAUUAGGUACCUGUACUUAUAAUUGUUAUAUCUUUCGGGUGUGCUGACUCAUCAUUAUGGGAUAUCCUCCUUUCUCCAGUAGUAUUCCUUGUCUUUUUCAUUUUUUAAAGGGACAGCGUCUCACUCUGUCACCCAGGCUGGAGUGCAGUGGCAUUGUCAUAGCUCACUAUAACCUCAAAUUCCUCAGCUCAAAUGAUCCUCCCACCUCAGCCUCCCAAGUAGCUAGGACUACAGGUACAUAUAACCACGCUUGCCUCAUUUUUUUAUUUUUUGUGGAGACGGGAUCUCAUUAUGUUACCGAGGCUGGUCUGGAACUUACAGUCUCAAGUGAUCCUCCCACCUCAGCCUCCCAAAGUGGGAUACAGGCAUGAGCCGCAGUGCCCAGUCACGUGUCUUAAAGUCUGCUUGCUCAAUAUUAACAUAACCACUCCAGCUCUGUUACUAUUUGCAUAGUAUAUCUAUUUCCAUUCUUAUUCUUUUACUUUCAACCUAUUUUGUCUUUACAUUUAAAGUAUGUCUCUUUGCCUGGGCAUGGUGGUGCAUGCCUGUAAUCCCAGCACUGUGGGAGACCAAAGCAGGAGGACUGCUUGUGCCCAGGAGCUUUAGAAUAGCCUAGGCAACAUAGCAAGACCGUAUUUCUAAAAAAAAAAAAAAAAAAAAAAUUUAAUUGGCAAACCAUAGUGACAUGUGCCUGUAAUCCCAAUUUACUCGGGAGGCUGAGGCGGAAGGAUCACUUGAGCCCAGGAGUUCGAGGCUGCAAUGAGUUAUGAUCACGCCACUGCACCCUAGCCAGGGUGACAGGCCAAGACCUUGUCUCAAAAAUAAAAGUGUGUCUCUUGUAGACAACAAAGAUUUUGAUGUUACUUUUGUAUCCAGCCAAUUUCUGUCUUUUGAUUUUAGUGUCAGUUCACUCACAUUUCAUAUAAUUAUUAAAUAUGGGUAAAUUUAGGUCUCCAAUUUGCUAUUUGCUUUCUAUUUGUCUCAUUUUUAUUCCUCUAUUUCUCCUUCUACCUUCUCUUGUAUUAAGUAUAUUUUUAUUUAUUUAUUUAUUUUUUUGAGACGGAGUCUUGCUCUGUCGCCCAGGCUGGAGUGCAGUGGCGCAAUCUCGGCUCACUGCAAGCUCCGCCUCCCGGCUUCACACCAUUCUCCUGCCUCAGCCUCCCGAGUAGCUGGGACUACAGGCGCCUGCCACCACGCCUGGCUAAUUUUUCGUAUUUUUAGUAGAGACGGGGUUUCACCGUGUUAGCCAGGGUGGUCCCGAUCUCCUGACCUCGUGAUCCGCCCACCUCGGCCUCCCAAAGUGCUGGGAUUACAGGCGUGAGCCACCGCGCCCAGCCUUAAGUAUAUUUUUAGCUCACCAUUUUAAUUCCUCAAUUGACUUUCUAAGCUCAAUUUCUUUGCAUUGUUCUUUUUUUUUUCUUUUCUUUUUUUUUUGGACAGAGUCUUGCUCUGUCGCCCAGGCUGGAGUGCAGUGGCAUGAUCUUGGCUCACUGAAAUCUCUGCCUCCUGGGUUCAAGUGAUUCUCCAGCCUCAGCCUCCCGAGUAGCUGGGAUUACAGGUGUGCGUCACCACACCCGACUAAUUUUCAUAUUUUUAGUAGAGACAGGGUUUCACCAGGUUGGCCAGGCUGGUCUCACACUCCUGACCUCAUGAUCCUCUUUGCAUUAUUCUUUUAGUAAUUACUCUAGGGCAGUAUUUCUCAAAGUGCGGUCCCCAAACCAUCUGCAUCAGUAUCACCUAAUAACUUAUUAGAAAUGUAAAUUCUUUUUGUUUGUUUUGGUUAAUUUUUAUGCUUUUUUGAGGCAGGUUCUUGUUCUGUCACCCAGGCUGUAGUGAAGUGACACAAGCACAGCUCACUAUAACCUUGAAUUCCUGGGCUCAAGUGAUCCUCCCACCUCAGCCUCCCAAACAGCUAGGACUAUAGGUGUGCAUCACCACACCCAGCUGAUUUUUAUUUUUUAUAGAGACAGGGUCUUGCUAUGUUGCCCAGGUUGGUCUUGAGCUCCUGGCCUCAAGCAAUCCUCCUGCUCUGGCCUCCCAAAGUGCUGGGAUUACAGACAUGAACCAUAGUACCUCGCCUAGAAAUGUAAAUUUGGGAGCUUGAUCACAAGCCUACUGGAUCAGAAACUCUGGCAAGGGCUGCAUGUGGUGGCUCACGCCUGUAAUCUCAGCACUUUGGGAGGCCAAGGUGGGAGGACUGCCUGACCUCAGGAGUUCAAAACCAGCCUGAGCAACAUGGUGAGACCCUGUACCUUAAAAAACAAAAAACAAACAAACAAAAAAAACACCUCUGGGAGUGGGGACCAGUAAUAUGUGUUUUAACAAGCUGUCCAGGUCACUGUGAUGCACACUAAAGUUGUGAGCCAGUGCCUCUAGGGAUUAUAUUUUUAAAAUUAUAACAAGCUAGUUCAAAUUAAUACUUAUUCCCAGUAAAAUAUAAGAUCCUUGUCCUAGCACAGCUCCAUUCCCUCCCCCUUCUUUAUGUUCCUGUUAUCACAUAUAUUCCACCUAUGUUAUAAACUUAAUGAUAGUCAUAAAUUCUGCUUCACAUACCUCCAUCUUUUAAAGAAAUUAAAAACAUAUUGUAUAUAAUUUUAAAUGUAAUUUUCUCAUGUCUUUCAGUGCAUUUAGGUUUAAAAAACUCUCAGAGGAGAUGUCCAUUUCUAAUUCUGCAGAUUUAAAAAGUUUAUACAUUUUGCUCUUUUUUUUUUUUUUUUUUUCCUGAGACGGAGCUUCGCUCUUGUUGCCAAGGCUGGAGUGCAGUGGCACAAUCUCGGCUCACUGCAACCUCCACCUCCUGGGUUCAAGUGAUUCUCCUGCCUCAGCCUCCCAAGUAGCUGCAAUUACAGGCAUGCACCACCAUGCCUGGCUAAUUUUGUAUUUUUAGUAGAGACAGGGUUUCUCCAUGUUGGUCAGGCUGGUCUCAAACUCCCAACCUCAGGUGAAUCCACCCGCCUCUGCCUCCCAAAGUGCUGGGAUUAGAGGCGUGAGCCACUGAGCCCGGCCUACAUUUUUCUCUUUAUUCUAUCUAGGAUUAGUUUUGACAUAUGAUAUGCAUAACAUUUAUGGCAAAGACCAAGGAAGGUAUAUUAUUAAUAGUAGGAAGUGAAAAAAUACUGGUGGAGAGAGACAGAAAAUAUGGUUUAUGUGUAAGUCUCAUAUCUACCUAGGGCUACAACAAUGUGCUAAACAUUGUUUAGAAGCAAAAAGGAGAUGGUGGGUAGAAUGAAGC